GCUUACGGCAGUACCGUCCUGAAAAUGUCCAAUCUCAUCUGAUCUCGGAAGCUAAGCAGGGUUGUGCCUGGUUAGUACUUGGAUAAGAGACCGCCUGGGAAUACCUGGUGCUGUAAGCU
rnacentral:rRNA from 1 species